GUGGCGCAGCUUAACGCAUUAAGUUGACCGCCUGGGGAGUACGGCCGCAAGGUUAAAACUCAAAUGAAUUGACGGGGGCCCGCACAAGCGGUGGAGCAUGUGGUUUAAUUCGAAGCAACGCGAAGAACCUUACCAGGCCUUGACAUGCAGAGAACUUUCCAGAGAUGGAUUGGUGCCUUCGGGAACUCUGACACAGGUG
rnacentral:rRNA from 1 species